AGACAUGAGAGUAAAACCAAACUCUGUGAAACGAGCUUGGAUGCACUUGACUCAAAGCAGAAAUCUCACAACCCAUUAGGGAGGCUGGUGGCAAACAGGCCACAGUUGUUGUUUGCUUACAAACCAUGGGGAACUUCAGAGAAUUAAGGAAAAGGCACAACAUUAAUUCCAUCUCUGUAAUCAUUUGAAAAGAGGACAGAUGAGGGUCAUGACGUUUGAAAAUAAUUUCCCAGUGUGCGGUGACUUUAGACCCCUCCAUAAAUAAAGAAAUGAUACUCGUCCCGCAGAAUUACAGAACCUCCGUUUCAUAAGAGCUGAUAAUGAGGGUUUUACUAGAUUCCUUAAUUGUCCUGUUCAGUCAUGGCCUUAAAUCUCCUCUCUGAUAAUUUCAUCUCUCGAAGCAGAUCUGAAGACAACCCUUCGCUGGACAGGAGGGAGUGGUAGCUGAAUGCAUGUGACCCAGGCAUUUGGGACUGUCAUGGGAAUAGUCUUCGGACAUAAAAGGCAACCUUAUCUUUGGAAGAAGUGAAGCGAAGAGGCUACUGUACAGGGGAACACGUGACAGCCCAGGACUGGCCCAGGAGCUCCCUGGACCCAGAUGUGACAUCAGAAGGUAAGUGGAGACCAAACAAAGCACCAGACAGUUAAAAAGAAAAAAAAAAAAACCUGAGCGAUUCUAACUUUCCAGAAGAUU